UACGUAGGUGGCAAGCGUUGUCCGGAUUUACUGGGCGUAAAGAGCGCGCAGGCGGUCGUUCAAGUCGCGUGUGAAAGCCCCCGGCUCAACUGGGGAGGGUCACGCGAUACUGAUCGACUCGAAGGCAGGAGAGGGAAGUGGAAUUCCCGGUGUAGUGGUGAAAUGCGUAGAUAUCAGGAGGAACACCGGUGGCGAAGGCGGAUCUCUGGGCCAUUACUGACGCUGAGGAGCGAAAGCGUGGGGAGCGAACAGG
rnacentral:rRNA from 1 species